UUGCUCGGUCUUGGUCUGGGUGUCAGCCUGGCCUGGCUGCUUGAACUGAUGGAUGAGAAAGAAAGAGCGGAAGUACUGCGUUAGGUCGCAGUGUUUCUCGAACACUUCCAAGAUCUUGUCCCGGCGUUUUGUCCGCAGGCUUCAAAAGCUGCGGAACCCAUGAAUAUUCGCGGACACAGCUCAUCUGAAACCGAAACGCGUCGUUGGGCCGAUAUGAAAGGUGUCAUCCAACCUUCAAGUUAAAAGGUCAAAAAGAACCCCUGAGUUUCAUAAGGGGUAUGAGAUGAGCGACAUUACAUUGAAUUCAGGGAUUGCCGACGGGCAAACCAUCGAGCCGGCCUCACGGCCUAAUCUCGAUAAGGGUUUCAACCCGCUAACAAUGAUCCUGUUUUUUGGCAUCCUCGCCGCGGGUGCAAUAUUUGUUGCCUACAGCAUUUACGUCGAUAUCGACGCCACCGGCACCAAGGUCACGACCUAUCUUCCCUACAUCCUGCUGUUUGUUGCGCUGCUGAUUGCGCUCGGCUUCGAAUUCGUCAACGGCUUCCACGACACCGCAAACGCCGUUG
rnacentral:misc_RNA from 1 species